ensembl:snRNA U6 U6 spliceosomal RNA
GUGCUUGCUUUGGUAGCACAUAUACUAAAAUUGGAACAAUACAGAGAAGAUUAGCAUGGUCCCUGCACAGGGAUGUCAUGCAAAUUCAUGAAGCAUUCCACAGUUUU